rnacentral:rRNA from 1 species
GACGAACGCUGGCGGCGUGCUUAACACAUGCAAGUCGAACGGAAAGGCCCUGCUUUUGUGGGGUGCUCGAGUGGCGAACGGGUGAGUAACACGUGAGUAACCUGCCCUUGACUUUGGGAUAACUUCAGAAAACUGGGGCUCAUACCGGAUAGGAGCUCCUGCUGCAUGGUGGGGGUUGGAAAGUUUCGGCGGUUGGGGAUGGACUCGCGGCUUAUCAGCUUGUUGGUGGGGUAGUGGCUUACCAAGGCUUUGACGGGUAGCCGGCCUGAGAGGGUGACCGGCCACAUUGGGACUGAGAGACGGCCCAGACUCCUACGGGAGGCAGCAGUGGGGAAUAUUACACAAUGGGCGGAAGCCUGAUGCAGCAACGCCGCGUGCGGGAUGACGGCCUUCGGGUUGUAAACCGCUUUCGCCGGUGACGAAGCGUGAGUGACGGUAAUGGGUAAAGAAGCACCGGCUAACUACGUG